rnacentral:rRNA from 1 species
CCGGCGCACGGGUGGGUAACACGUAUCCAACCUGCCGUCUACUCUUGGACAGCCUUCUGGAAGGAAGAUUAAUACAAGAUGGCAUCAUGAGUUCACAUGUUCACAUGAUUAAAGGUAUUCCGGUAGACGAUGGGGAUGCGUUCCAUUAGAUAGUAGGCGGGGUAACGGCCCACCUAGUCUUCGAUGGAUAGGGGUUCUGAGAGGAAGGUCCCCCACAUUGGAACUGAGACACGGUCCAA